rnacentral:miRNA from 1 species
GUGAUCCUGGUAAAUCCAUAUACAUCAGAUCCAUUAUCUAUAAAAUGGGCAUGAUCCUGUAACCUACCCCUAAUGUUGUCUUGGGG